rnacentral:rRNA from 1 species
UACGGAAGGCAGCAGUGGGGAAUAUUGCACAAUGGGCGCAAGCCUGAUGCAGCCAUGCCGCGUGUAUGAAGAAGGCCUUCGGGUUGUAAAGUACUUUCAGUCGUGAGGAAGGUGUUAAGGUUAAUAACCUUAGCAAUUGACGUUAGCGACAGAAGAAGCACCGGCUAACUCCGUGCCAGCAGCCGCGGUAAUACGGAGGGUGCGAGCGUUAAUCGGAAUUACUGGGCGUAAAGGGCACGCAGGCGGUUAAUUAAGUUGGAUGUGAAUCCCCGGGCUUAACCUGGGAAUGGCAUUCAAGACUGGUUAGCUAGAGUCUUGUAGAGGGGGUAGAAUUCCAUGUGUAGCGGUGAAAUGCGUAGAGAUGUGGAGGAAUACCGGUGGCGAAGGCGGCCCCUGGGACAAAGACUGACGCUCAUGUGCGAAAGCGUGGGGAGCGAAACAGGAUUAGAUACC